AACGAACGCUGGCGGCGUGGAUAAGGCAUGCAAGUCGAACGCGUUAUUUAGCUUUUUCGAAUAACGAGUGGCGAAAGGAUGCGUAAUACAUGGGUCAUCUGUCUUCGAGAUGGGGAUAACUUGUCGAAAGAUAAGCUAAUACCAAAUAAGACUACGUCCUUUUCGAAGGAUGAAGUCAAAGGGUGGGGAGCCGUAAGGCCCUAUCGCUUGAAGGUGAGCUCAUGGCCUAUCAGCUUGUUGGUAGGGUAAUGGCCUACCAAGGCAAUGAC
rnacentral:rRNA from 1 species